ensembl:lncRNA
CAUGCAUGUAAGUAUAUCAUGUGUUAUGCCAGUAUGCCUAUAAGGAGGGAAUACCGUGCUAAACGGUUAAUUGAUUAACGCACGUUCAAUGGUAACGGCCAGGGGUUUAAAUUUGUCCCGCACAGCUCGGUCGGGAAGAGGUCGCUGACGUGAGCAAUAUGGAGUCUGUCUAGCUAUUAAAAGCACUAUUGUCAUAUCAGAUUUAACUCAUAACAGGAGACCUCAAAUGUUUAGUUUGCAUAACUCCCUGCAGAGUUGUUGACGACAGUCAUAUGACUCAGCCUCAUCUCUUGCAACCACAUGAUGUUACCUGCCAACAGAAGAAACUGCAGAGACAAGAUGGCUCCUGGUUAGGUAACGCAGAUUCAGAUGAUAAUGAAACCAGUUGGUUGUGAUUGUCAUGGGAACACGUGCCGCUAUCGCUGCUGCUAAUCUGUCUUUCUUUUCUGUGGGAGUCCAGCAAACAACAAGAAAUGCAUGAUGACCUUCUAAAGGGCAUCGUGAAAAUCUCAAGCAAGUGAAAGAAAAUCAGUGGAUGUGAUUUAAGCCAUCCUUCCACCUCUAUCCUCGUCUGCUGCACCAAGAUCAAACAGGCACGCUGAAGACAGCUUGGCCCACUUUCUGCCCCCAAGGAGAUGACUCACUCACACCCACACACAAACACACACACACACACACACACACACACACACACACACACACACAUGUAAGGCAACACUCUCAUGACUUGCUGUUUUUGCUCACAAAAAUUGGCAGGAUGAAUCCAGCGCUCUCUCAUUAGGAAGUCUUCUUUCCUUCAAAGCGAAUGGCCCAUCCGCCAGGAUUUCAGCAUCCAGAGACGACCAUACAGGGCCAGGUGUCAUCUGAGAAGAUGAUAAUUCCACGAACAUGUGACCUCACAGGCUGCCAAGCUCUUGAUCAAACGGCCUGGAGCCCGCUUUGUUUAUUUGAGAUAAAUAUAUAUAUUUUUUAGUGCCGAUGACGCAUCUGUGCAUGAUGCACUAGGCUGAACUUUUCUACUGAAGUCUAACAUUGCAUUCGUCAUCUGGAGGGGUUUGUUUCAGAUGGUGAAGAGGAGUCAGACCUUGACACCUCGGAUUGCCAAAAUCUCAACAAAGAUCACGUGGUGGUGAACAGUCAAUGGGAUAACGGAGAUAGAUGCCACUGAGCGUAUGGCGUCAAAACACCCCCCGUCUCCAGUCAGAACUGUCAGACUAAAUUUGCCGGUUUAUGUGCAGUGCCGGUUUAUGUGUAGUGCCGGUUUAUGUGCAGGAGUACGUUUAUUUUUUUGUGGUUCAGCUGAUUAAAAUAUGCUGGAGACUAUUGCCUGCUUUUUUAAUAAGCCCUUUGUGACCUGUAAACUAGAGUUACUGAGCUUAAGAC